rnacentral:rRNA from 1 species
AUUGAACGCUGGCGGCAUGCUUUACACAUGCAAGUCGAACGGUAACAGGCCUUCGGGUGCUGACGAGUGGCGAACGGGUGAGUAAUGCAUCGGAACGUGCCCAGAGGUGGGGGAUAACGCAGCGAAAGCUGUGCUAAUACCGCAUGUGAUCUGAGGAUGAAAGCGGGGGCCCAGGCAGCACUGUUUGGCCUCGCGCCUUUGGAGCGGCCGAUGUCAGAUUAGGUAGUUGGUGGGGUAAAGGCCUACCAAGCCGACGAUCUGUAGCUGGUCUGAGAGGACGACCAGCCACACUGGGACUGAGACACGGCCCAGACUCCUACGGGAGGCAGCAGUGGGGAAUUUUGGACAAUGGGCGCAAGCCUGAUCCAGCAAUGCCGCGUGCGGGAAGAAGGCCUUCGGGUUGUAAACCGCUUUUGUACGGAACGAAAAGGCUCUGGCUAAUACCUGGGGCUGAUGACGGUACCGUAAGAAUAAGCACCGGCUAACUACGUG